AAACAAGACGUUCGCCUUUCCAGUCUCUCUCCAGACAAGAGCACUGGGGUGUAACUUAGGCUCCGCCAGAGACUUCAGUUAAGAAGGCAGCACGAGGAGCCAAGGGGUUAUGAAAUCCAUCUUGUGACAACGUGGGGCGGAGCCACGGCGGAGGCGGAGCUACGGCCGAGAGGCGGGUUUUGAAUGGAGGCGCUGUUUCGGACGUGAGACUAUGAAUACGCUAAUGACGGCAAUGUCGUAACGCGGAGGUUCCAUAGUGUAGUGGUUAUCACGUCUGCUUUACACGCAGAAGGUCCUGGGUUCGAGCCCCAGUGGAACCAGAGCAACCGCAGAGGUGCGUGCCUGGUCGUGUAGUCCUGAGGACGUCCCCGCCCGGGCCCAGGCGGCCUGGGAAAAUCCGGAGCUCCUAGGAAGCAAGACCGCCUGGCCCCAAAGCCUCCAACUGAAAUAUGGCAAUGCAAAAGCGCUUUGACUGCGGUUGAAUUAUUACAG
rnacentral:tRNA from 1 species